rnacentral:rRNA from 1 species
CCGCAAGGUUAAAACUCAAAUGAAUUGACGGGGGCCCGCACAAGCGGUGGAGCAUGUGGUUUAAUUCGAUGCAACGCGAAGAACCUUACCUGGUCUUGACAUCCACAGAACUUUCCAGAGAUGGAUUGGUGCCUUCGGGAACUGUGAGACAGGUGCUGCAUGGCUGUCGUCAGCUCGUGUUGUGAAAUGUUGGGUUAAGUCCCGCAACGAGCGCAACCCUUAUCCUUUGUUGCCAGCGGUCCGGCCGGGAACUCAAAGGAGACUGCCAGUGAUAAACUGGAGGAAGGUGGGGAUGACGUCAAGUCAUCAUGGCCCUUACGACCAGGGCUACACACGUGCUACAAUGGCGCAUACAAAGAGAAGCGACCUCGCGAGAGCAAGCGGACCUCAUAAAGUGCGUCGUAGUCCGGAUUGGAGUCUGCAACUCGACUCCAUGAAGUCGGAAUCGCUAGUAAUCGUGGAUCAGAAUGCCACGGUGAAUACGUUCCCGGGCCUUGUACACACCGCCCGUCACACCAUGGGAGUGGGUUGCAAAAGAAGUAGGUAGCUUAACCUUCGGGAGGGCGCUUACCACUUUGUGAUUCAUGACUGGGGUGAAGUCGUAACAAGGUAACCGUAGGGGAACCUGCGGUUGGAUCACCUCCUUACCUUAAAGAA